GUGACCUCACUCUUUCCUUUCUCAAAAUUGCCUCCCAACGUCCCCGGGCCUGGCGAGAAGCCAGGCAGGACGCCACGACGCGUCGUGUCUGAGAGAAAACCGUCUCCCCUCCACUCAGGCUUCAGCCCCGACCCCACGCUAACUGGGCCAGGGCAGGGGCUGGGCUGGGAGGGGACCCAGUGAGCUCAGGGCUGGAGGAAACGGUCCCUGCUUUGAAGUGGCUCCGGCACCGGCCUCUCCCACCACCCUGUCAUGGGGCAGACACAGAAGAGGGAGAAGCAUUCCACAGGGGAGGAAAGGCCUCAGUGGGGACCUAUGGAGCUCCCAGGCCCACCGCAGGGAGGCAGGUCCUCGGUCAUCUGCGGAGGGAGAACACUUUCAGUCGAAGGAGCCUGGGACCCUUGACACAGAAGUGACAUGUGCAUUCGGAACCUCUCUGUGGAAAACACAGACCCUUCAUGACACGCAAACUCGAAGCCGGUGAGGCCGAGUCUCAGGGCUGCGCCAACCAGGAAGCCUGGCUGUCCAAUGUUCCAAAUCUGGAUGUGAAAUGGACCAUGCAGACAGGACCCAAGGGGCAUGGGGGAGCUGGCAGAGGCACCCGGGACAAGUGGGGAAGCACCUGUCGGCCAGGAAGGUAGAGAGGCACCUACCCCAGAACACGGUGCCAGCGUCACACUCUUAUUAACAGAUGCAAUAACCACCUUCGGAGACCAGACCCCUCAAAGAGCACUCAGCCCACAAUGUGACGCAGAGAAACCAGAGACCCAGGCAGGGAGUGCACCCACGGGGACACUCCGAGGGUGGCCUCCUGCCUGCCCUGAUUACUUAAAAAGGAGAUUCUUGGAAACCUUUGCGGGCCCACAGGUGCACCCUGACUCCCAGGGAUGGGGGCUGAGCCACCCAGGAAACAAAUAUGAAAUCAAAGAUCCAGACAGCCCUGACCCUCCUGAUUCCAGGGUCCAUAAAUAAGUCAUUCUUAAAAU
rnacentral:lncRNA from 1 species